AUUGAACGCUGGCGGCAGGCCUAACACAUGCAAGUCGAACGAGUGGCGGACGGGUGAGUAAUGUCUGGGAAACUGCCCGAUGGAGGGGGAUAACUACUGGAAACGGUAGCUAAUACCGCAUACCAUCGGAUGUGCCCAGAUGGGAUUAGCUAGUAGGUGGGGUAACGGCUCACCUAGGCGACGAUCCCUAGCUGGUCUGAGAGGAUGACCAGCCACACUGGAACUGAGACACGGGCCAGACUCCUGCGGGAGGCAGCAGAGGGGAAUAUUGCACAAUGGGCGCAAUCCUGAUGCAGCCAUGCCGCGUGUAUGAAGGAGGCGUUCGGGUUGUAAAGUACUUUCAGCGAGGGGGCGUUACUCGCAGAAGAAGCACCGGCUAACUCCGUGCCAGCAGCCGCGGUAAUAC
rnacentral:rRNA from 1 species